AAAUGGACAUUUUGGAGAUAUAACGACGGAAUUUAUCAAACAAAAGGACCAUUUAUGAUGUUUAUGGGACAUAUUGGUGUGCCAACAGAAGAAGAUCUUCAAAGUCAGUCUGGCCCUCAGGCAUGGCAGAAGUGGCCCAGCUUCUCCAAACACUGUUUGAGCCAAACACCGUUUUGAUCGAGCCGGCCCGGCAGCCGUUGGCCCCUGAAGACACGGAAGAGUGAAACAAAGACACCAACCAGCCAUGUUCCAUUGUUUUACUGUUGUGGGGGAUGAAUGUACAACGUUCGCUGCCUCCCGGGUCUGGCCCAGAGAGGGCACAUGGCCCCCUGGUGGGGUUUCGGAGGGUAGGUGGGAGUGCUCUGCGUCUCUCUCUGAUCGUUCUCUAUUCAGUCUUCUGGUCAACGCUCAUCAGAACAUGAAGUUGCAGCCUGGCAUAUCCUGCAUCCAACUCUCAUCCAAGCCCUGCUAUGUAGGAUUAUCCAAUAAACUCUACAGUGUAUGGAGGGUCAUUAGGUAAAAAAAGAUAUGUGAGCUCAUUCAGGGACUAGCUAGCUGUUCUGGGCUUAUAGAGUGUAGCAUAUCAUAUUCUCCUCUCCUUGCCAUCUUUAUGCCUUGACAAGCUGUCCUAUAUCUGCUCCUGUAUGAGGUUGGAUUUUCACAUUAAAGAGAUUGAACGGGAUCUUAAGCACUUACACAUUUGUAACAUGUUGUACACAUUGGAAGUUGUAAGAUAUAGAGAGAGGGAGUGAAAGAGAAGGAGAAAGAAAAAGAGAGACAAAAGAUAGUCAGGGAGAAAAGGAGAGAGAGAAGAGGGAGGGAGGGAGGUUGACAGAUGCACGUUGCUUGUUCGUGUUGCAGCCUUCACCUCAUCCAUGGCUGUAGUCUAAUCCUAAUGUAACUGGGAGGUGGAGGGAUUCAGUGUUACAAUGUUACACAUGGUUGGAAGGUGUGAUGUCAUGUCAACAGGAAGCAAGACAGAUCUUCUGGAGGUUCCACGCCAGCUGUUCCCAUCUCAACUUCACGUCUUCAGGCUUUAAACACACAAUUUAAAUCUAUACUUCAGCAAUAAUCAACACAAUCAAUGAUCCAUUACUAGAUUUAUAAACUUUACAUUUUUAAAUAAAUGUUUUGUAAAUGUUUUUUUCUCACCAAUGUGCUGGAACAAAACUCAGGGUCCAGACUUGUAUGAUAAAGACAGGGUGAUUGUUCCUUCAAUUUACAGUAUGUAUACGUUCUUUUCUUUUGUCUUGAGUACAAAUAUGUGAUGCUGAUUAUUGUUGUUAAGUGUUGGGCUGGUGUUUAAAGUGCUUAAGAUAGGAAAGACAAAGCUGAGCCAUCAAAGCAGACAAACAAACCUUCCUCUCUCUCCGAUGGACUCAAUGUGUAUUUAAUAUGAAAGUAAUGUCUAUAAUAUUUUCAACAUGAUAUCAGUCUUUCAGUGAAAGGUUCACAAUAAAACAACAUAGCAAGUA